rnacentral:rRNA from 1 species
GGUUCAUUCAAAUUUCUUCCCUAUCAACUUUCGAUGUUUGGGUAUUGGCCAAACAUGGUUGCAACGGGUAACGGAGGGUUAGGGCUCGACCCCGGAGAAGGAGCCUGAGAAACGGCUACUACAUCCAAGGAAGGCAGCAGGCGCGCAAAUUACCCAAUCCCGACCGGGGAGGUAGUGACAAUAAAUACUGAUACAGGGCUCUUUUGGGUCUUGUAAUUGGAAUGAGUACAAUUUAAAUCCCUUAACGAGGAACAAUUGGAGGGCAAGUCUGGUGCCAGCAGCCGCGGUAAUUCCAGCUCCAAUAGCGUAUAUUAAAGUUGUUGUGGUUAAAAAGCUCGUAGUUG